rnacentral:rRNA from 1 species
GAUGAACGCUGGCGGCGUGCCUAAUACAUGCAAGUCGAGCGAACAGACGAGGAGCUUGCUCCUUUGACGUUAGCGGCGGACGGGUGAGUAACACGUGGGUAACCUACCUAUAAGACUGGGAUAACUUCGGGAAACCGGAGCUAAUACCGGUUAAUAUUUCGAACCGCAUGGUUCGAUAGUGAAAGAUGGCUUUGCUAUCACUUAUAGAUGGACCUGCGCCGUAUUAGCUAGUUGGUAAGGUAACGGCUUACCAAGGCAACGAUACGUAGCCGACCUGAGAGGGUGAUCGGCCACACUGGAACUGAGACACGGUCCAGACUCCUACGGGAGGCAGCAGUAGGGAAUCUUCCGCAAUGGGCGAAAGCCUGACGGAGCAACGCCGCGUGAGUGAUGAAGGUCUUCGGAUCGUAAAACUCUGUUAUUAGGGAAGAACAAACGUGUAAGUAACUGUGCACGUCUUGACGGUACCUAAUCAGAAAGCCACGGCUAACUACGUA